CAGUAGCCGCGGUAAUACGUAGGUCCCGAGCGUUGUCCGGAUUUAUUGGGCGUAAAGCGAGCGCAGGCGGUUAGAUAAGUCUGAAGUUAAAGGCUGUGGCUUAACCAUAGUACGCUUUGGAAACUGUUUAACUUGAGUGCAAGAGGGGAGAGUGGAAUUCCAUGUGUAGCGGUGAAAUGCGUAGAUAUAUGGAGGAACACCGGUGGCGAAAGCGGCUUUCUGGCUUGUAACUGACGCUGAGGCUCGAAAGCGUGGGGAGCAAACAGGAUUAGAUACCCCUGUAGUCCCUGUCUCUUAUACC
rnacentral:rRNA from 1 species